CACGGGAAGGGCAAGCGUUAUUCAACAUGACUGGGCGUAAAGAGUCCGUAAAUUGUAAAGUAAGUUAUUAGUUAAAAUUUAAAGCUUAACUUUAAAAAAGCUUUUAAUACUGCUUUACUUGAGUUUUAUACAGAAAAAUAGAAUUUUAUAUGAAAGGGUGAAAUCUGUAAAUAUAUAAAGGAAUACCAACAGCGAAGGCAAUUUUUUGGUAAAAACUGACAUUGAGGGACGAAAGUGUAGGUAGCAAACAGG
rnacentral:rRNA from 1 species